GAUGAAGAACGUAGCGAAAUGCGAUACGUAAUGUGAAUUGCAGAAUUCAGUGAAUCAUCGAAUCUUUGAACGCAUAUUGCGCUCUCUGGUAUUCCGGAGAGCAUGCUUGUUUGAGUAUCAGUAAACACCUCAACUUCCAUAUCUUUUUUGAAAUGGGAGUUGGACUUGAGGGAUCCCAACGCUUUUCCUCACCGAAAAGUGGCGGGUUACUUGAAAUGCAGGUGCAGCUGGACUUUUCUCUGAGCUAUAAGCAUAUCUAUUUAGUCUGCCUAAAAAACAGAUUAUUACCUUUGCUGCAGCUAACAUAAAGGAGAUUAGUUCUUGUGCUGACUGAUGCAGGAUUCACAAAGACAGGCUUCGGCCGACUUUGUAAACUCGAUCUCAAAUCAAGUAAGACUACCCGCUGAACUUAAGCAUAUCAAUAAGCGGAGGA
rnacentral:misc_RNA from 1 species